CAGUCGCCACGGUAAUACGUAGGGUGCAAGCGUUAAUCGGAAUUACUGGGCGUAAAGCGUGCGCAGGCGGUCCGCUAAGACAGAUGUGAAAUCCCCGGGCUUAACCUGGGAACUGCAUUUGUGACUGGCGGGCUAGAGUAUGGCAGAGGGGGGUAGAAUUCCACGUGUAGCAGUGAAAUGCGUAGAGAUGUGGAGGAAUACCGAUGGCGAAGGCAGCCCCCUGGGCCAAUACUGACGCUCAUGCACGAAAGCGUGGGGAGCAAACAGGAUUAGAUACCCGGGUAGUCCCUGUCUCUUAUAA
rnacentral:rRNA from 1 species